GGAACCCCGUGGGCGGCGGCGGCGGCACCCGCGCUGCGGCGGGCGGGGGACGGAGGCACCGCCAUGGGCGCGGAGCAGAGCGCCGAGGCCGAGAGCCGCCCGGGCGAGCCCAGUGCCGCAGCAUCUCCGUUGCCAGCCAAGCAACGAGCAAAAAUGGACGACAUUGUGGUUGUAGCCCCAGGAACACAAUCCUCAAGGAAUGUCAGCAAUGAUCCAGAUGUCAUAAAACUGCAGGAGAUUCCAACUUUCCAGCCCCUUUUGAAAGGACUCCUCAGUGGGCAGACGUCUCCAACCAACACCAAGCUGGAGAAGCUGGACCCACAGCAGGUGCUGCAGCUGUGCCUCCGGUACCAGGACCACCUCCACCAGUGUGCAGAGGCCGUGGCCUUUGACCAGAACGCACUGGUGAAGCGCAUCAAGGAGAUGGACCUCUCUGUGGAAACUCUUUACAGCCUCAUGCAGGAGCGCCAGAAGAAGUACGCCAAGUAUGCGGAGCAGAUCCAGAAGGUCAACGAGAUGUCUGCCAUCCUGCGCCGUAUCCAGAUGGGCAUCGACCAGACGGUGCCGCUGAUGGAGCGACUGAACAGCCUCCUGCCAGAGGGGGAGCGGCUGGAGCCCUUCUCCAUGAAACCCGACCGGGAGCUGAGGUCGUAGCGCUCUGGCAGUUCCCCCUCCUCACCUUCCACGCUCCAUGUUCGGCACGGAUGCGUUUCCAGCAGGUUGCAUUGGCAGGUGUUUGGAGUGGGCAGCACUGCUGCUGGACUCUCUGCCAGGGCAGCGGAGGGAGAACAGCGUUAGCUGCCAGAGCUGCACAGUCAGGAAUCCAGGAGCUCCCCAAAGGAGAUGAUUUACCAUUCUCUCAUCUCCCUCCUCUUGCCCUCCUGUCUCCUUUGCCACAACAGCGCCUGUGCAGACACAUUUGUUUCACUGCUGUGACUAGUUGUGGUUUACAGAGGAGGAAUUUCCUUUCAUGUGAUUUAUUUUUUUUACUAAAAAAUUUCAAUGGGAUAUGGGGUAUGAUAAACCCUCUAACAUGUUUUUUGUGCCACUGGGGUUUAGACACUUAAGAUGGCUGGAAGGUAUUUCUGAGAUCCCCUGGCCUUGGAAAUAUGUGUGUUUUAUAGGUGAAAGUGUGGGAGCCAGGAACUGGCUUAUUAAAAUCUGGCCAUUAUCAUAAUUAACAUGGUUUGCAUGGCAGGGUUUUUGGCAUGUCCUUGAGGCUUCUGUUUCUGUGGGCUCACUAAUUUAUGAGGCUGUAAAGGAGUAACUGUUCUAGAUAUGUAUGCUGUUGAUGUAAAGCAAACCUUAGUAUUCCUCUCCCCCUUGCCCUGGCAAUGUCCCCAUGCCCCAGCUGGUGGCACUCUGACAGGCACCGAUACCAACCUGCACACUUUGCAUCCCAAAGUUGGACACAAGGUGUCUUUUUUUAUUGGGACACUCCAGUUACCUUGGUGCUGUCCUUUUUUACCAGUGGGGUGCAGCUGCUUCUUCAAGUGUGUGAGGCUGGAGGGGAGUGACACAAGAAGUCCUUUGGCUCUUUCUGUUGGUUUAGCUACCCUUGUGCCGGGAGCUGGUGGUGGCACACUGCUGAAUGACUGAAACCAUGGGGCCCUUCUCAGCCACCUGCUCCAAAGGCAGUGAGAUGUUCUUGCCUCCUCCCAGGCAAACCAAGGCCGAAGAACCCAUGAACCCCAAGGGCUAUUGUGUCAGGAGUGCAGUUCCAGCAGCGAGGACAGUCAGGGACAACCAGCUUCCAGUACAGCACAAGGUGGGGUCACUUGCCAAAGGCAACUUGCUUCAGUAUGUCUUAGUACUUAAGAGCAUUUAUUAAGCAAAAGGUUGUCUCUAAACAUCUGGAAGUAAGAGUGCUGUAGGUUUUUGAUUGUAAUAAUUAUUGCCUGGUGGCAAGAAGCAACAGUCUGUUCUCUUGUUGCAUUCCCAAAGGCCAGCAUGAAUUUUUGUCAUGCAGACUGCAGCCAACUUAGAUGUGCGUCAGAACCACUGUGGUGGUUGGAUCCCAGGGCCUGCUGAACACUAUCUAGAAGAGUCCUGUAGUAAUGAAGCCCCCUGGAAUGUCCUGGGAAGUGGGACUGACUGCUUUAGGGAGGGAAGGGAACUCAGCAUGAGGGUUUUUAGCAAAGGCAGCAGGUCUCCUUGCCUGCUGCUCUCACCCCAGAGGUUUGACACAGUUGUAUGUACACAGACAUAUGCUGUGUGUUGCCCAGCAUAAAACAUCAAAAUUCCAUCCUUGUUAAAGGUUCCUGCCAUGUUUUACACUUAGAUUGUUAAAAGCUUACAUGAGACUUAACCCAGGAAAAGCUGUUUGUCAUGGCCAUGCCCUUGUGGGUCCUCAUUGUCCAUCAUGGAAUAAUGUAUCUCUGCCUCCCACCAUCAGACACACAAGAAUACUGAGCUGCUUUAAAUAGUAGCUGCAGCCAUUUUUGUCCUCCUUGUCCAGAUGCUGCUGUCUGGAUGUUUUAAAUAUGCAACAUUCAGCUGUCUGCCAGAUGGGAUCUCAUGAGUGUCCCACACCCUGGUGUGCUGGAAGCCUGUGCCACUGGGAAGAUUCUGAUACUGGAUCUCAAGGCAGAUGCUCUCUCCUGUAAGAUACUUUUCUGAGGCUUGUAGACAUUUGGCCUCAGGCCAUUCCGUAUCAGAUCAAAGCACUGCUCCCUGCAGUGCUAAUGAGGGCAAAGGACUAGUAUUCCCAACUGAAGGCUGCCAGGAGCAAGUGCUGCAAAUCAGUUCCUUCCUCAUUUCCCAGAAAACACCAAGCUGUUGGGCUGAGAAUGGGAGAAAGUUUGUUCUUAGGAACACUGGUCUUUAAGCUUGUGCCUGUGCUGCUGGGCCUCACAGACAGAACUUCUUGAACAGCAAGGGCGGGUUGUGGAAGGCAUAAUAUCUGAACUAGAAAGAAAUAAGAGCUGAAAUAUGAAGGCCAACCGUUUUCAAUGCUCACAUAUCAUCACCUUCAUUCCACAGGUGAUAGUCUCUUGCAUGGGUACUGUAAGAAGCAUGCACCCUCUAACUGCCCUUGAAUGACAGUUUACAGUUUUAUUUAAAACAUUGUCACUGCCUUCAGGAACUGUAAAUCUUUGGCCCUCUUGCUGAGGGUGAGACGUGUCCUGCCACAUCUUCUCGAGCUGCUGUUUGUUGCUUGGCUGGUCCUUGUGGCUUUGCUCCACAUGCUGCUUUCAGCUUCAGCUCAGAUGCAAGUGAUGCUCAGGGUAAGAUUGAUGCUUCCCUCCCAUGCUGUUUAGCAGGAGCUUGGAGAUGUGACUGGAAUCACCUUUCCACUUAUGAAUUUCUUCUUCCAAGCCAAAUGCUCUUGGGGGAGGCCUCAGGUAUCUUUUGCAAAUGUACCAGCUGUUGCUUCUAGCACAAAUUUAGUGCUUUGAACAGGGAAUAAUUUAGCAUGCUCUCCUGAAACCAGACACUGCUGCCCUUCUCUGUUUUCUGGGUGGUGCGUGGUCUGGGGGUAGAGCCUAAGCUUCUUGAUAUGUGAUCCUGUGAAAAGCUGGGGAGCAGGACGAGUCACUGGGGCUGUGGUUCCUCUCUGGCCUGAGCUGCUCUGGCACUUCCCCAGACUCUGCUGUUGCAACUCCCCCGUUGUGCUGCCACUGGUGCUGCUUGUGUCUCACACUCUGCUGCCCAUGCAGAGCAGGCUGUCCCAGUUCUGGUUGGCACUGAUGUCCAGUUUGAAUACAAGAUGUGAGCAGCAAUGCUUGGGACUUGGCACUGGGAAAG